UAAGUACAAAUGGCAAUCACUUUGUGAUUGAGCUUCACCCUGUUUCACAUCCCAACAGUGGACUCAUGAGAAUUGAACUACAUGGAUAUCUGUAUCUAGUUCUUCAUGAGGGCCAAAGCAGACAAAACCACUGAAAACCCACAAUCCCCGUAGGAACAGGUUCCGGCGCUGGCGCCGCUAUGCCAAACUCAAAUCUUUCACCACCACCACCAUUAUCAGGCUCCGCGCCGCCAUGUCGAACUCUUCUUGAGUAACUACAGAAGCCAAAGUUGCCAAAAUUAUCAGCACAGCCUUCGACAUUGCAAUCCCUCGUUU
rnacentral:lncRNA from 1 species